rnacentral:lncRNA from 1 species
AUGGGGCCCCCUCAGGCCCCGCAGGAGAUUUUCGGCCUCACCACCACGACCUUUAGAGACGUGGAUGAGGCUCAGAGAGGGCGAGAAGCUUGCCCAAGGCUGCACAGCCAGAGACGGGUUCUAAAUGAAACUGACGCUGCCUGCGGAUGCGACUUCCUCUUCCUACAGAGAGCUCUGAGCCCUCAGGCACUACGGAGCAAGCUCGUGGUCGCCGGGAGGGGGUACUCCUGCCGGUGUUUACUGCCCCAGCCGGGGACACGCGGCGGCGCUAGCCCGCAUGACUGGUCCGCUCGUCCCAAGAGGAGGCAGAGCGAAGACUCGAGGCGGUGCCCGUUAGGGACGCGCUGCCCGGGGCUUAUGGGCUUUUUCUUGGGGACUGUACCCGCCGGGCUGGGGAGCGGAAAGGCUCGGGGAUUUUGCACACUGCAAGGAACUGUUGGGUUUAAACUAAAAAUACCCGCCCGCCCGCAGCUGUCACUCCAGGGCCCCCGCCCCCGGCGCGCCUCCCCAGGUCCCCUUGACUUUCGGCGACUCCGAUCCCCAGGGGACGUGCCAGGGCUGGGCGGGGGACUGAGGACCCGACCCUCCCAGCCCCCGGCCCGGCCACCCAGCCCCGGCACCCAGCCCCGAGCCACUUACCCGGCCGGGAGCGUGCGGGAGCGCGGCGCCGCGGGCAGUGCUGGCCGAGCCGCCCUCCUCCUCCCUGCGUCCCGGGCGGCUCCGGAGCGGGGCGGGGCCGGGGCGGGGCCCGGACACUCGCCCCCGCCCCGCCCAGUCCCCUCCGGACCCGCCGCGGGAGCCGCCCCGGGCCCCGCCACCUCGGCGGGUGGGAGAAGGACGAUCCUGGCUCUGCCCUCUUGGCAAAGGGCCGAGGAGCCCGGCCUCAGCCCGGUGGGCACCCCAUCGCGGACCCCCUCCCCCGGGGCAGGGGGGGAGCGCUGUCGUGGGGGCUCCGCACCCUCACCCCUGUCACCCCUGGCCCCGGGCCCACAACUGCCCUCUCCGCUCAGUAGCUUCCCCGAGCCUCGGCACCCCCCCCCGCGCCUGCCUCGGCCCGGGUCUCAUCCUCGGGGAUGGCACGGAGCUGCCUCUACUCAGGGGGAAGUUGGAUCUGGGGAGUUCCUCUGUGUGUCCCGCCUUGGGGAGGGGGCUAGGGGCCUGGAGGGUCUUGCCCUCUCAGAGCCCAAGUGGGGACAAAAGAAGGGGCACCCUUCCCGGAGGCGCGAAAUCCAAGGAGGAAGUGACACCUAUCAGCCAGCCUGA